rnacentral:sRNA from 1 species
UAGACGGUACGUAGCUCCAGCUGUGACCAU